CUAGUGACCGAUAGUGAACCAGUACCGUGAGGGAAAGGUGAAAAGCACCCCGGAAGGGGAGUGAAAUAGAACCUGAAACCGUGUGCUUACAAGUAGUCAGAGCCCGUUAAUGGGUGAUGGCGUGCCUUUUGUAGAAUGAACCGGCGAGUUACGAUUUGAUGCAAGGUUAAGCAGUAAAUGUGGAGCCGUAGCGAAAGCGAGUCUGAAUAGGGCGUUGAGUAUUUGGUCGUAGACCCGAAACCAGGUGAUCUACCCUUGGUCAGGUUGAAGUUCAGGUAACACUGAAUGGAGGACCGAACCGACUUACGUUGAAAAGUGAGCGGAUGAACUGAGGGUAGCGGAGAAAUUCCAAUCGAACUUGGAGAUAGCUGGUUCUCUCCGAAAUAGCUUUAGGGCUAGCCUCAAGUGAUGAUUAUUGGAGGUAGAGCACUGUUUGGACGAGGGGCCCCUCUCGGGUUACCGAAUUCAGACAAACUCCGAAUGCCAAUUAAUUUAACUUGGGAGUCAGAACAUGGGUGAUAAGGUCCGUGUUCGAAAGGGAAACAGCCCAGACCACCAGCUAAGGUCCCAAAAUAUAUGUUAAGUGGAAAAGGAUGUGGCGUUGCCCAGACAACUAGGAUGUUGGCUUAGAAGCAGCCAUCAUUUAAAGAGUGCGUAAUAGCUCACUAGUCGAGUGACACUGCGCCGAAAAUGUACCGGGGCUAAACAUAUUACCGAAGCUGUGGAUUGUCCUUUGGACAAUGGUAGGAGAGCGUUCUAAGGGCGUCGAAGCAUGAUCGCAAGGACAUGUGGAGCGCUUAGAAGUGAGAAUGCCGGUGUGAGUAGCGAAAGACGGGUGAGAAUCCCGUCCACCGAUUGACUAAGGUUUCCAGAGGAAGGCUCGUCCGCUCUGGGUUAGUCGGGUCCUAAGCUGAGGCCGACAGGCGUAGGCGAUGGAUAACAGGUUGAUAUUCCUGUACCACCUAUAAUCGUUUUAAUCGAUGGGGGGACGCAGUAGGAUAGGCGAAGCGUGCGAUUGGAUUGCACGUCUAAGCAGUAAGGCUGAGUAUUAGGCAAAUCCGGUACUCGUUAAGGCUGAGCUGUGAUGGGGAGAAGACAUUGUGUCUUCGAGUCGUUGAUUUCACACUGCCGAGAAAAGCCUCUAGAUAGAAAAUAGGUGCCCGUACCGCAAACCGACACAGGUAGUCAAGAUGAGAAUUCUAAGGUGAGCGAGCGAACUCUCGUUAAGGAACUCGGCAAAAUGACCCCGUAACUUCGGGAGAAGGGGUGCUCUUUAGGGUUAACGCCCAGAAGAGCCGCAGUGAAUAGGCCCAAGCGACUGUUUAUCAAAAACACAGGUCUCUGCUAAACCGUAAGGUGAUGUAUAGGGGCUGACGCCUGCCCGGUGCUGGAAGGUUAAGAGGAGUGGUUAGCUUCUGCGAAGCUACGAAUCGAAGCCCCAGUAAACGGCGGCCGUAACUAUAACGGUCCUAAGGUAGCGAAAUUCCUUGUCGGGUAAGUUCCGACCCGCACGAAAGGCGUAACGAUUUGGGCACUGUCUCAACGAGAGACUCGGUGAAAUUUUAGUACCUGUGAAGAUGCAGGUUACCCGCGACAGGACGGAAAGACCCCGUGGAGCUUUACUGUAGCCUGAUAUUGAAAUUCGGCACAGCUUGUACAGGAUAGGUAGGAGCCUUUGAAACGUGAGCGCUAGCUUACGUGGAGGCGCUGGUGGGAUACUACCCUAGCUGUGUUGGCUUUCUAACCCGCACCACUUAUCGUGGUGGGAGACAGUGUCAGGCGGGCAGUUUGACUGGGGCGGUCGCCUCCUAAAAGGUAACGGAGGCGCUCAAAGGUUCCCUCAGAAUGGUUGGAAAUCAUUCAUAGAGUGUAAAGGCAUAAGGGAGCUUGACUGCGAGACCUACAAGUCGAGCAGGGUCGAAAGACGGGCUUAGUGAUCCGGUGGUUCCGCAUGGAAGGGCCAUCGCUCAACGGAUAAAAGCUACCCCGGGGAUAACAGGCUUAUCUCCCCCAAGAGUUCACAUCGACGGGGAGGUUUGGCACCUCGAUGUCGGCUCAUCGCAUCCUGGGGCUGUAGUCGGUCCCAAGGGUUGGGCUGUUCGCCCAUUAAAGCGGUACGCGAGCUGGGUUCAGAACGUCGUGAGACAGUUCGGUCCCUAUCCGUCGUGGGCGUAGGAAAUUUGAGAGGAGCUGUCCUUAGUACGAGAGGACCGGGAUGGACAUACCUCUGGUGUACCAGUUGUCGUGCCAACGGCAUAGCUGGGUAGCUAUGUGUGGACGGGAUAAGUGCUGAAAGCAUCUAAGCAUGAAGCCCCCCUCAAGAUGAGAUUUCCCAACUUCGGUUAU
rnacentral:rRNA from 1 species